CCUGACUGUGACCCUAUGUUCUGUAGCCCGCCAGGUUCCUCUGUCCAUGGCGUUCUCCAGGCAAGAAUACUGUAGUGGGUAGCCAUUUCCUUCUCCAGGGAAUAAUAAACCAGUAACAAUGUGAGAACUGGACCAUAAUGAAGGCUGAACAUCAAAGAACUGAUGUUUUUGAAUUGUGGCGCUGGAGAAGACUCUUGAGAGUCCCGUGAACUGCAAGGAGAUCAAACCAGUCAAUCCUGAAGGAAAUCAACCCUGAAUAUUCAUUGGAAGGACUGAUGCUGAAGCUGAAGCUCCACCUGAUGGGAGGAGUCGACUCAUUGGUAAAGACCCUGAUGCUGGGAAAGAUCGAAGGCAAAAGGAGAAGGAGGCUGCAGAGGAUGAGAUGGUAGGAGCUGGCCAAAAGAGGAAAUUGCAGGAGAUUUGGAAGAUGGAGGAGAAGCAGCAGCCAUCCCCCUCCUUCAUUUAUCUCUACUGUACCCCAUCUGCUGCUGCUGCUGCUGCUGCUGCUAAGUCACUUCAGUCGUGUCCCACUCUGUGCGACCCCAUACCCCAUCUAAAAACAAGAAAAUGAAAGAAUGAGAAGUAUAAGUCUUCAUUUGGGAGCAAAGGAAAUGAAAGAUGGAGACUAUUGCAACAUAUCUUUACCACACUGAGUUUCCCCAGCCACAGACAUGGUGUCAUCUCUCUGUUUGUUUAG
ensembl:lncRNA